UACGAAGGGGGCUAGCGUUGUUCGGAAUCACUGGGCGUAAAGCGCACGUAGGCGGAUUUUUAAGUCAGGGGUGAAAUCCUGGAGCUCAACUCCAGAACUGCCUUUGAUACUGAGGAUCUUGAGUACGGGAGAGGUGAGUGGAACUGCGAGUGUAGAGGUGAAAUUCGUAGAUAUUCGCAAGAACACCAGUGGCGAAGGCGGCUCACUGGCCCGUUACUGACGCUGAGGCACGAAAGCGUGGGGAGCAAACAGG
rnacentral:rRNA from 1 species